rnacentral:ncRNA from 1 species
UUAUAGGAUCUAUAGCGGAAACUAACAGAGCUCCUUUUGAUUUAGCCGAGGCUACUGACUAAAAACGAUUUGGUCUCGUUAAAGAUCGCUAUAUGCUGGAAAACCCUUUUUUUAGUACUAAAUCGCUAAAUAAAGAAAGGGCAAUCAGCAGGAAACCAAAGUAAAUUAAACUCUUACUAGUAGGAUCCUCAGAGACUACACGCGAUCGUUAAAUAAACAAUUUAUUUAAUAAGAUAUAGUCCAAGCCUGCGUGUAAACGUGGG